AGCAACAGCAGGUUUGAGCGUCGCAUCACGAGACUGAGAAAGCAUCAUGAUGAGUGUGCCAGGAGACAUACAGCUAGACAGAAGGCAAAAGAAACAUCAAGUGUUUGUCUCAGCAUGCCCUCCCAGGCCCCAGAUGAUCAGGUUCCUUCUCCCCUCAAGCAGGACAUACUUAACUUACAACAGAUGUGUGAAACAGGAUCCUUGGCGGAUUCAAAGGAAAAUCCAGACAGUUGUGUGUCUUCAGAUGUUCCCAAGCUCCUAGCCAAACAAUCACUGUUUACAAAGAAAUCAGUGG